GAAAGAGGCUUUGUGAGGAAAUGCAGGUUCUGAAAGAAGACUGAGCAGAAGUUGAGCUGAAAGAGGAAGGCUACUUUCCAGUCCUCCUCACACUCGGCUGAUUAACAAACUGUUUUUCUCUCCGUUCACGAUGAAGCUUUUUGGAGCUCUGGUCCUGUUCAUGACUCUGUCAGCAGCAUGUGGACUGAGAUGCUACACAUGCACGGCCACCGACCCUAAAUCCUGCACUGACACCAAAUCUUGUCCUGUUCUCUUCAACCGUUGUUUCUCUCUCAAGAUAGACGGUUAUAACAUGGUUACCAAGGGCUGCCAACACAGCAUAACAUGUGUAGCUGCCAUAGCUUGCUGUGAAGGUAGCUUGUGUAACAGUGCCAUACCAACAGCUCCCUGUGCCAUCCUCCUGCUGGUAUCCUCAGCCGUCAUCAUGCUCUUUCUCUGAGGCUCUGGGACUUUCUUAUUCGUAUACUGUACGUUUUCCUGAUCCAACUUGUACAACUUAAGAAGAAUAAACAACUUCCAUAUUAAACUGCACUGCAAAUCCUCUAUGUCUAAGUCAAUUAGAUCA
rnacentral:lncRNA from 1 species